AUACGGAGGGUGCAAGCGUUGUUCGGAUUUACUGGGCGUAAAGAGCGUGUAGGCGGUUUAGCAAGUCAGAUGUGAAAGCCCCGGGCUCAACCCGGGAAGUGCAUUUGAAACUGCUUCACUAGAGUAUGGGAGAGGAGAUUGGAAUUCCUGGUGUAGAGGUGAAAUUCGUAGAUAUCAGGAGGAACACCCGUGGCGAAGGCGAUUCUCUGGACCAAUACUGACGCUGAGACGCGAAAGCGUGGGGAGCAAACAGGAUUAGAAACCCCUGUAGUCC
rnacentral:rRNA from 1 species